rnacentral:rRNA from 1 species
UGGGGGAUAUUGCACAAUGGGGGAAACCCUGAUGCAGCGAUGCCGCGUGAGGGAAGAAGGUUUUCGGAUUGUAAACCUCUGUGGAGGGGGACGAUAAUGACGGUACCCCUUAAGGAAGCCACGGCUAACUACGUGCC